rnacentral:misc_RNA from 1 species
GAUGAAGAACGCAGCGAAAUGCGAUACGUAAUGUGAAUUGCAGAAUUCAGUGAAUCAUCGAGUCUUUGAACGCACAUUGCGCCCCCUGGUAUUCCGGGGGGCAUGCCUGUCCGAGCGUCAUUGCUGCCCUCAAGCACGGCUUGUGUGUUGGGCCUCCGUCCUCCUCCCGGGGGACGGGCCCGAAAGGCAGCGGCGGCACCGCGUCCGGUCCUCGAGCGUAUGGGGCUUCGUCACCCGCUCUUGUAGGCCCGGCCGGCGCUUGCCGACACAUCAAUCUUUUUUCCAGGUUGACCUCGGAUCAGGUAGGGAUACUCGCUGAACUUAAGCAUAUCAAUAAGCGGAGGA